rnacentral:sRNA from 1 species
AGAAUGCAAAGAAAUGGAUCAUCUAGCCGAGGGCUGGAGAAGACCAGGCUGAGGCUGUGUCGGGAAGCCAGGAUUCCAGAAUCAGCAUUCCUCACUGGCCUCACAAGGGAAAGCUGGGAAGCCCGGUGCUGGUGUGCAGUAGGUAGACCCGGGGAGGGGCGGGGUCGGGGAACAGAGGGUACCAGAUAGAGCCUUUCCAGUCAGACAAGGGUCCUGGCCCCCUCAAGGCAGAGUCCCCAAAUCUCCUGUCCCGCAGAAGGACACUCGUGAGGUGGUAGCCAUAAAGUGUGUAGCCAAGAAAAGUCUGAACAAGGCAUCGGUGGAGAACCUCCUCACGGAGAUUGAGAUCCUCAAGGGCAUUCGACAUCCCCACAUUGUGCAGCUGAAAGACUUUCAGUGGGACAGUGACAAUAUCUACCUCAUCAUGGAGUUUUGCGCAGGGGGCGACCUGUCUCGCUUCAUCCAUACCCGCAGGAUUCUGCCUGAGAAGGUGGCGCGUGUCUUCAUGCAGCAGUUAGCUAGCGCCCUGCAAUUCCUGCAUGAACGGAGUAUCUCUCACCUGGAUCUGAAGCCACAGAA